rnacentral:rRNA from 1 species
AUUGAACGCUGGCGGCAGGCCUAACACAUGCAAGUCGAACGAGUGGCGGACGGGUGAGUAAUGUCUGGGAAACUGCCUGAUGGAGGGGGAUAACUACUGGAAACGGUAGCUAAUACCGCAUACCAUCGGAUGUGCCCAGAUGGGAUUAGCUAGUAGGUGGGGUAAAGGCUCACCUAGGCGACGAUCCCUAGCUGGUCUGAGAGGAUGACCGGCCAAACUGGAACUGAGAAACGGGCCAGACUCCUACGGGAGGCAUCAGUGGGGAAUAUGGCACAAUGGGGGAAACCCUGAUGCAGCCAUGCCGCGUGUAUGAAGAAGGCCUUCGGGUUGUAAAGUACUUUCAGCGGGGAGGCGUUACCCGCAGAAGAAGCACCGGCUAACUCCGUGCCAGCCGCCGCGGUAAUAC